GGAGCUGGCCCGCAUUUUUUUUUGUCAAAAAUUGAACUUCCCCCCUCUUUUUUCCACAAACUUUUUUAGUUAACCGCUCCCCCACUUUCUCUUGCUGCAUCUGUACCUCGUCAAAUGAACCGAACCAAACCAAACCAAAUUAGAGCUCAGAUUCUUUAGCUCUGGGUAAAUCAAAUUCACUCACCGCGGAUGGAUUUAGGGAUUAUCUUGUCGAACCCGAUUCAACGGACGAGCUGGUGUCGGCCUCGUCCAAGCAAAGCAUUUGAUCGAAGCAGCAAUAUCACCAUAUUCCCCUCCACCUCUGUCGCUCAAUCUGAUGAAUAUGAUUGCAGGUUCUCAAAAUAUGGGGGGAGAGGUGGUAAAGAUUGACAUUCAAGAUUGUGGUUUCAUAUCAUAGUUCCUUUGAUGGGUGGCAAAAGCAAUAGGAUCUCUACACUGUCCAAAGUGUUGUUGAACAAUCUCUGGGGAAAUUUGUUGAUGAGAAUAAAGCCUAGAUGUUGAAGACAAAGGAUUACCUUUGGAAAGGGCUGCUACUGUACGGAUAAAGGAGUGACAACCCUUAAUCAAGUUUGUUCUUUCUUUUCAGACCUUACAAGCUAAGGGUUGUUGAUGCGCUUCGUCAGGCACUUAACUUAUACCAGGAGCUUCUUCCUCCCAAGCACGAUGAUUAUCAUAUGAUGCUGAGGUCUAUUCCUCUUCUUUUUCCCCAAGUAGUUUGUUUAUUAUUGGAGUGGAUUGGAUUUUAUGUUGUGGUGGUGCAGGAACAAAGUGGAUGUUAGAGAACUUGCAAUUCAAUUUGGGUGUGUUCAGAUCAUUCUCUUUGUUCCAAAGGGUUUAUUCCUAUUCACACCUUCAGACAUUUCCUCCAUCUAAGGACUGAGGCACAAGGGAAGAUCUCUAGUGGUGCUCACCCUCCUCAUGAAGCAGAUGGUAGCUGAUCAGUUCUAUUACAUUCUACAUAAGCACUGCAGAAAAGUAGAAGUUAAACUUGUAAAAUGCAUUGUUCAAAGUAUGAUUGUAGAUAUAUCCUUCAAUCAGUUAGGAGGACUUUGUACACUACGCUUUCUUGAACAGGUUGAUCACUAUAUUGGCAAAGAUCAUAUUUUCAAACGCAGCAUUAUUUUGAUAAAAGUGUUGUGCUACUAUGAGAGUCGUAUUCUUGGUGCUCAUCAUGGUUUAUUUUCAACAUAUGCUUUGGGAACAUUAGUCCUAUAUAUAUUCCAUCUUUUUCAUUCUUCUCUAGAUGGGCCUUUAACGGUCCUCUACAGAUUUUUGGAUUACUUCAGCAAAUUUGAUUGGGAGAAAUAUUCUCUGAAGUACCAGAUAAUGGAGGGGAUGAUGUACUGCGAAGUGAAGAGUUUAUUAGAAACUGUGUAGACAUGUUCUCUACUCCAACAAUUAAUGAUAUUGAUGAAUCUGAUGAUGAAAGGUUGUGAUUGAAGAUUUUGGGAAUCAGAUUAAGCAACUAUAAACCUACAAGGUGCAGUAGAUUGAAUUACUUGACUAGAAUUGUUGAAUUGUAAUUUGUUACACUUUAGAAUUUUUUUUUGUAGAUGUAUGGAUAUGAUAUUCUGGUUAAGUUAAUAAUGCAUUUGGUGGUGUAUUUUGAGCUGUGUAUAAUUGGAGGAAGAUUUCUUUUAUUAAUUUUUUUUUUUGGAUUCUUUACAAGUUUUAAGGACACUUUUUUAACGUCCUCUAUUACCUUUAUUAAGUGUCCUGUUUUAGUUUUUAAGGACACAUGAGUAUUUUUUUUGUGUCCUCUCAAGGAUUUAAGGACAAUUUCUAGAGCUUUUAGGACACAGUUUGUGUGUCCUAGUAUAGAAAAGAGGACACAAUUUCUAGAGCUUUUAGGACACAGUUUAGGUGUCCUCUUAUGGAUUUAAGGACACCAUGUCCAGGGCUAUUAGGACACAUAAACUGUGUCCUCGUAUAGAUAAGAGGACACAUUUUCAGUGUCCUUGUUUGGGACUUACGAUGACACCCGGAUAGAGGACUCUUUUUUAAAGAGUCCUUGUAUGUAUUUAAGGACACGGUUUCAGUGUCCUUAAAUACAUGUUAUUGUAGUAGUGCAUGUUCAAUCAUAUUGAUGACAAUUCAGUUUUUGGUUUUCCAUAUUAUCAAUUGAGUGUUUGUUUCACCGUGUCUACAAGAUGAAUCUUUACUUGUUUGUUUAGGUGCACAACUAAAUGAAUAGGUUAGGGUUCUAAUGCUAGGAGUAACACUAGAUUCGUAUAUGUCGUGUGUUGAUUCCAAUUGAGUAGCAAAAUGUUUUCUUGAAUUACAUGUGACUCAAACCCUAGGUUUAGCAAGACUACAAUGUACUUGUGACCCUAGAUUUAUCCAAACCCUUUUAUUGCUUAAUGAUUUUGAUAUGUUUUAACUUAGCGAGCUUGUGUCUAGGUUGCAUAAUCGGAAAUAGAUUAAGUGGUGAGCUUGUAUUCACUUAAUGAGGAACUAAGAAAGAGUAAUGGGUUAAUUCGAGCUUGUAAGUUAACUUCGGAUAAAUUCAAUUGAGAAAUAAGAUUCCAUAACUAAGCUUUAAUAUGAUUGAGUGUGUUUGGUGGUGGAGAAUGAGUUCUUAGCUUUGUUUCUAUCAAUAGUUUAAAGUUAUAAAAUCUGUUUCUGCUUUGUUAUCUUACUGUGUUUAGUUUUACGUAAAUUAUUUCAUAUAUCAAAUCAACUCCGAUUGUUCUGAAAUUUUGUAUGUGUGUUAUUCAAUGUGUCUUUAGUGUCCUGUAAAAUGUACAGAAAAUUACAUAGAGUCUAAUUUAGUUAAUUAAUUUAUUUUCUUUAACUGUUCAGUAGCAUGGUUUAGAGUAGUUUGUGACAUUUGUUUAGCAGUUUAGGAACAAUCUUCAGCGGGUAAUGACCCUUGCUUGAUCACUAUAUUACUAACGAUGAUAUUUGAGUGCAAGGUUUAAGUUGUGCAUCUUUUAGAUGUAUCAGUUAAGAAAAGUGCUGAGCAAGGGCAGAUGGUAAGUUUUUCUUGUAGUAUAUGCUAGUUGCUAUUCUGCUUUAUUUACAUGCAAGAGAAAUUUAGUGAUAGAUUAUUAGACCGGGGUAGAUAAGACUGCAUAAUAUAAGGGUUAAAUAAGGGGACAUGCAUUACUUGAUUCUUUUCAUUGUAAACACACCAAGUUGCUCGUUUUGGCUAAGGAUUUGCAAACUUUUCCUUAUAGAAAUCUCUAUUCUUGCAUUAAUGCCCCCCCCCCCCCCCCCCCUUUUAUUUUCUUUUAAUUUUUUUCAAAUUCUAUCUUUGCUCUAUUAUGUUUUGGCUGAUCCAGUAGCCAAAUCCAAUUAAGUUACUCCAAAUGGAGUACUCAAAGAGACUAAACAUAAAUCUGAACAUGUAGCUACCUAUAGCAGCACAUAUUUUCUUAUGCCUAGUUGAGUUGUUAAAUUUGGGUGAUAGUCAAAAUUUGCCUUCAUACCAGUUAUAUUUGCUUAGUCAUCAUGAGCUAAAUACGGAAUUCACUUAAUUAGUGUUUCUAUGUGGUGUGCAAAAAAGCAAUGUAUUUAUAGAAUUAUGCUAGUGAUGUCAUGUAUGUUUGGUGCCAAUGACAAUGUUGUAUGCCUUUUACUGUCACAUUUAUGAUCUGUCUUUUGGUAAAUGACUUUAGUUUAAGCAUGCCUCUUUUGUGGUUAUACAGAACACCCAAUUAGCCAUAUUUGAAGCAUCAAAGUUGGAGUGCCUUAAGUAGGUCUCUCUGACAUUCCUUUCAUCAUUAAUUGUGUAUGCUAUAUAUGAUGUUGGAUAUACCCUACAUGAGUUUAUGAUUUGGAGCAAGUCCUUAACUUAAUUGUGUGAUAUACAUAUUGCUGACUAUUGAUCAGAUCUAUUUCUUUCAAGCCAUGACUUCCCGGUCUAACAACAUAGCCAAAGCUAAAGCAAUAACACUAAUGAUGAAGGCACUGCAAAUGAAAAGAGGUGAAAAAAUAGUGUCGAAACCAGUUGUUGAAGAGACUGAUGCACCACCUAAAUCUGCCUUUACCAAACAUGAUCAAUAGUAUGAGAUAUCAGUGUUUUUUGGGUUCCAUUUGUUGAUCAUGCCAACUGCUAUAGGUUAUUGAACUGAUGUUUACUAAGUUUAGCUCCAUUAUGGAUGUAUGUAUAGCUGCAGUAACAGAUUAAUCAAAUAUUGGUAUUUUUAUGAA